GAUCAUGGCUCAGGAUGAACGCUAGCUACAGGCUUAACACAUGCAAGUCGAGGGGUAGCAGGGUAGCAAUACCGCUGACGACCGGCGCACGGGUGAGUAACACGUAUCCAACCUUCCCAUAACUCAGGGAUAGCCUUUCGAAAGAAAGAUUAAUACCUGAUAGUACUUUUUCAAGGCAUCUUAGAAAAAGUUAAAGAUUUAUUGGUUAUGGAUGGGGAUGCGUUCCAUUAGAUAGUUGGUGAGGUAACGGCUCACCAAGUCUUCGAUGGAUAGGGGUUCUGAGAGGAAGGUCCCCCACAUUGGUACUGAGACACGGACCAAACUCCUACGGGAGGCAGCAGUGAGGAAUAUUGGUCAAUGGGCGAGAGCCUGAACCAGCCAAGUAGCGUGGAAAAGGAUGAAGGUCCUAUGGAUUGUAAACUUCUUUUAUAGUAGAAUAAAGUGAGCCACGUGUGGUUUUUUGUAUGUAUACUAUGAAUAAGGAUCGGCUAACUCCGUGCCAGCCGCCGC
rnacentral:rRNA from 1 species